rnacentral:lncRNA from 14 species
CCGACGCGGCUGGAGAGGCGCUGCCGCCGCCGCGCCGCCCCCGGGGGACGGGCCGGGGCCGGGCCGGGGUCCGUCCGGAGCCGCCGCCGCGCCGCCCCGGGGCUGCGGCUCUGCCCGCGCCGCCGCCGCGCCAUGGGCAGCCCCGCAGCGGCAGCCGAGCGAGGAGCCGAGGCUGGCUGUGCUGGACCCUUCACCAUGUGAACAUGCCCAGGCUCCAAUGCCUCAGCACAGCCCCAUGUCGGAGCAGCCCUGGACCUGCAGAACGGCACAUGGCAGAG